GAUGAACGCUGGCGGCGUGCCUAAUACAUGCAAGUCGAGCGAACAGAUGAGGAGCUUGCUCCUCUGACGUUAGCGGCGGACGGGUGAGUAACACGUGGAUAACCUACCUAUAAGACUGGGAUAACUUCGGGAAACCGGAGCUAAUACCGGAUAAUAUAUUGAACCGCAUGGUUCAAUAGUGAAAGACGGUUUUGCUGUCACUUAUAGAUGGAUCCGCGCCGCAUUAGCUAGUUGGUAAGGUAACGGCUUACCAAGGCAACGAUGCGUAGCCGACCUGAGAGGGUGAUCGGCCACACGGGAACUGAGACACGGUCCAGACUCCUACGGGAGGCAGCAGUAGGGAAUCUUCCGCAAUGGGCGAAAGCCUGACGGAGCAACGCCGAGUGAGUGAUGAAGGUCUUCGGAUCGUAAAACUCUGUUAUUAGGGAAGAACAAAUGUGUAAGUAACUAUGCACGUCUUGACGGUACCUAAUCAGAAAGCCACGGCUAACUACGUG
rnacentral:rRNA from 1 species